GAUCACAAAGCUAUAUAGGGCAAACAACACCUCUAACUAAGGAGUGCAGGAUGACGUCGGCAUCAACCAUGACGAACAGCCAGAACAUCGCCCAAGCCACAGAAGCUCUAGAGCGAGACAUGCAAGCGUGGGACCUCUCAGACUCGCCAGACUCCCCACCGCCUGCGCUGCUAAUCCAGACCCCACCAAUUCCACCCCCUUCUCCACAGAUGCUGCAGGAUCCUACAGGAUCAGGUCUGUGUGAGGAAACCAUUAUCGACAUCAAGCUUGCAACCCAUCACCUGGUGAUGUUGGCAUUAAACGCCUUUCUACAGGAAACAUGCUACAGAUGUCGAACAGCUCAACCCAGUCAGGUGCAACACAGUUGUUUGCUCGAACUGCCCGAGUAUUACUUUGGCACCUACUAUGACGAUGUGAUGCUGAGGCUCAAGACAGACCGAUUCAUCCGCGCCAUUCGCCUGUUUGUACGCUCGUACACAGUCGAUGGGACUAAAACACAAUUCAGCAGGAUUGCAGAACACACCAUGACUGAACUGAGAUCAUCACAACAUAUAGUAUGCGCAAUUAACGACAAUAUUGCACAGCUGCUAGAAGCAAGUCGUUAUGCCCGUCGUGUUAAACCAGCCAUGCUUCGCAUGAUUGGUAACUACUGGGCUGGGAGACACCUGGUUUAAUGUAUGUUGUUCAGUAUUCAUUGUCUGUGUGAAUGAAAUAAAAAGACAUGUCAACACCGACAUCUUAGUCAUUUGUUAUACAAUAGAGAAAAGCAACAAUACAGCGUGUUUCUCUUCUCCAAGACAUCGGGGGGCCUUUCACACGGUAAGCAUGUCUGUUAUACCCAGCGCAUAAAUGUCUGUAUGUCAGUGCUGAUUAUACAAACCCUGUUUAAAAUGUGACACAUAUGUUGUCAGAAAACAAAUCCUCUAAAUUUGCAAAGUUACUGAUUUAAAAAUAUAUUUUCGAAUUUUUAGUUGCAUGACAAACAUACAAUAGACUCUUGAGCGUAUUUAUUUAUAUAGCUACAUUCACAAUGGUACAACCAUGCUAAAUAAAAGAUGCCCAAGCACCAAAGCACUCUAAUGCAAGCCUCUAAACUGUAUGUUGAUAAGUGCAUGAAGUUAACCUCUACCUCUACAGCUGAAAACAGUUUGUAUCCGCACUCUGAGGGUCUGCUGAAUUGUUUUUAAUAUUGCGCUUUUUCACGAACUGCAGAUGAUGAAUUCCUCUUUAUUCGACAUAGUGUCCUUAAGCUAUUGUUGCUCAUACUUACAGAGUUCCCUAGCUACUUCUUUACUAUGUCAGUAAACUUUUUGAAAAGGAAGGUGUUGUAGAUUUAAAGAAACAUCCUAAUUGAAGCAAAGGCAAAAAAUUGGAAUGAAUUUUAUGUGACUGUUCAUAUUAAAGCCAACAACAAGUGAAAAUCCAAAACCGACUCCAAUCCUUUGUAUUAAUGAUCUCCCUCUCUCUCUCUCUCUCUCUGUGUGUGUGUGUGUGUGUGUGCCUUAGAAGUCAAAUAAUACAUUAGCCACACUUAAAAAAACAAAAAACAUUUGAAUUUCAUUUAGAACUAACAUUCUAAGUUGUAAGCAGAAAUCCUAUCCUCAGCCACAAACAUGUUUCCCCACUUUCACAAUGCUGAGGUGUCAAAUCCACAACCCCCAACAAAUGGUUUGUUACACGCGGGUGUGAAGGGCAAGCUUUACUUACACAGCCUCACACACAGUAGAUUUUUAAAGUUUUUGGGUACAGUGGUUUAGCCACAGAUGCAACUUAUACUUUUGAUAAAGAUCACUCCACCUGUUUAUUUCUUAAGAAAUUAAGCUUUUAUUUAUAAAUGUCUACACAAUAAUAGACACCGUGUGCUCUGUGACAUUAUAGUCUUCUACUGAUGCUUCCAUUGGUUUGCAUUUUAAACU
ensembl:lncRNA